rnacentral:tRNA from 1 species
UGGGGAGUAGUCUAGUGGCAGGACAUGCGGCUCUGGACCGUAGGACGGAGGUUCGAAUCCUCCCUCCCCAGCCA